rnacentral:lncRNA from 1 species
AUGGUUCCUCUGCUGUGGUGGGAUUUUCCUCCCUUUAAUUAUAGUUGCUGUUUUCAUUUGAAAUUGAUUAAGUGUUUUAGGAUGGCAAAUAGAGCUGGUCUUUCUAAAAAGAACACUCAAAGACAUCCAGCCCCAGCUAGGAGUGGAACAUUUUUAUUCCUUUCUAAAGGACUCAGAAUUUCUUUCUUCCGAAAUGGGAAGAAGAUGACUGGGUUUGGCGUUCUCCAGAACAUCUCACGAUUCUCCCACACUAAGGAGAGGUGGACACCUGUACCAUGGGACUUCUUGGAGAGGGGCAUCUGCAGUGAAGGAGGGAGCACCUCAUUUCUGAAGUUAAAACACUGUUGUAUCAUUUGUCGUGAAUUAAAGACCCCCUACCUCUAUUAUUCUCAGCAACCUUUUGGUGUUCCUCUUCCAUUUUCAUUCAUCCAGGUAUCCUGCAAGGUAAAGCACUUAUUCUACCAAAAUUUGGCUGAAGAGGACCAGAAUCCUCUGGGUCUGAGCACAUCUGUGUUACUGUUGGCAUCAGGAUGA